AAUAUAGACUCCUGUCUCAGAGGGUUAGGUGGAUUUGGAGAGACCAGUGAGAUCUGGCUCAGAGGGUUAGGUGGAUUUGGAGAGACCAGUGAGAUCUGGCUCAGAGGGUUAGGUGGAUUUGGAGAGACCAGUGAGAUCUGGCUCAGAGGGUUAGGUGGAUUUGGAGAGACCAGUGAGAUCUGGCUCAGAGGGUUAGGUGGAUUUGGAGAGACCAGUGAGAUCUGGCUCAGAGGGUUAGGUGGAUUUGGAGAGACCAGUGAGAUCUGGCUCAGAGGGUUAGGUGGAUUUGGAGAGACCAGUGAGAUCUGGCUCAGAGGGUUAGGUGGAUUUGGAGAGACCAGUGAGAUCUGGCUCAGAGGGUUAGGUGGAUUUGGAGAGACCAGUGAGAUCUGGCUCAGAGGGUUAGGUGGAUUUGGAGAGACCAGUGAGAUCUGGCUCAGAGGGUUAGGUGGAUUUGGAGAGACCAGUGAGAUCUGGCUCAGAGGGUUAGGUGGAUUUGGAGAGACCAGUGAGAUCUGGCUCAGAGGGUUAGGUGGAUUUGGAGAGACCAGUGAGAUCUGGCUCAGAGGGUUAGGUGGAUUUGGAGAGACCAGUGAGAUCUGGCUCAGAGGGUUAGGUGGAUUUGGAGAGACCAGUGAGAUCUGGCUCAGAGGGUUAGGUGGAUUUGGAGAGACCAGUGAGAUCUGGCUCAGAGGGUUAGGUGGAUUUGGAGAGACCAGUGAGAUCUGACUCAGAGGGUUAGGUGGAUUUGGAGAGACCAGUGAGAUCUGACUCAGAGGGUUAGGUGGAUUUGGAGAGACCAGUGAGAUCUGACUCAGAGGGUUAGGUGGAUUUGGAGAGACCAGUGAGAUCUGACUCAGAGGGUUCGGUGGAUUUGGUUAGAUGCACUCUAACCUCCUGCUGCAUAGAACUCUUUCUCCAAGACAAGCACACCUCCAAAGCAGUUCAAAAAGAAAGAGACAAAAAGUUUCUCAAAUGAA